rnacentral:rRNA from 1 species
ACCAACAGGGAUUGCCCUAGUAACGGCGAGUGAAGCGGCAACAGCUCAAAUUUGAAAUCUGGCCUCGGCCCGAGUUGUAAUUUGCAGAGGAUGCUUCUGGCGCGGUGCCUUCCGAGUUCCCUGGAACGGGACGCCACAGAGGGUGAGAGCCCCGUAUGGUCGGACACCAAGCCUGUGUGAAGCUCCUUCGACGAGUCGAGUAGUUUGGGAAUGCUGCUCUAAAUGGGAGGUAAAUCUCUUCUAAAGCUAAAUACCGGCCAGAGACCGAUAGCGCACAAGUAGAGUGAUCGAAAGAUGAAAAGCACCUUGAAAAGGGGGUUAAAUAGUACGUGAAAUUGUUGAAAGGGAAGCACUCAUGACCAGACUUGGGCCGGGCGGCUCAUCAGGGGUUCUCCCCUGUGCACUCCGCCCGGCACAGGCCAGCAUCGGUUUUCGCGGGGGGAUAAGACCGUCGGGAACGUAGCACCCUCCGGGGUGUGUUAUAGCCCGGCGGACGAUACCCCCGCGGGGACCGAGGUUCGCGCUCCGCAAGGAUGCUGG